UCCUAAUUUUAGAUGAAACUUUAACUAGUGUAACAUGACAUAGAUUUACAAAAUCAAAAGAAUACAUCUGCUUACUGAAAAUCAACUUAUGGGUAUACGGUUAUACAUCUAACAAUACUUUAAUAUAACAACACAUGAUGUAAAACUUUCAAGCACUAUCAUAUUUCAAAAGGGCAUACAUAAAUUGGUCUUUGUUAAGUUAGAAAUUAUAUUGAUCACGAAAAAGUUCAUAAAAUUUAGCACACGAUUUAAAAUAAAAGAAACAUACAAAUGAUAUAAUAAUAUGAGACAAAGCAUGUUCUGUUUUAUGUCCUAAAAUUUCAUUAAGAACCAGUUUCGUAAAGUUUGACAUUCCCAUAAAAUUACUUGUAAACCAAAAACCCAGAUUCAUAACAGAAAUGACCCAGAAUAUAUGAGUCAUUGAAACUUGUGGAAAGGAUGUCGAAAAUUUAGAUUUUUUAAAUUCGUUUACUUUUAAAAUCAAGAAUAUUUGUAUUGAUAUCUGAAGUACGACCAAUACAUUUUUAACUAUCAAAAGUGUAAUCGUCGUCAUCUGCGUAAAUAGAGAGUAUGCUGUUAGAAUUACACAAUAAAAUGUCAAAGAUGCAAGAAAACUCAGUGAUAUAACAAAAUGACUUGAGUUCAAAGAUGGAAUUUUCCCAACUUCCAGUCUUUCAAAAUAAGUCUUUGGUCCAUAAAGCAUAUAAAAACAGAACAUGAAAAGAAAGAACAUCACAAUAUGGAGGAUUAUAUGAUACACAUAAAAUAUUGUUUCUUCAUUUUUGAGACCUCUACAUGUUGUUAAAUUGAAACAUGUAUUCUUUAUACCAUCAUUAGCAAGUGCAUAUAUUGAAAGGCCACAAUCCGGAAUAAACAAGAAAAUUACAGCUACACCAGUUAUAUGUGUAAAUCGAUAGAAAGACAUUUUUUGCAUUGUUUCUUUUCGGUCAAGAGAUUCGUGUUUGCCCUCGUUGAAAUGCUGUUUAUAUGCAGUAGAUUUAGGCAGAUUGUCAUCUGAAAUAUGUAUGUUGACAUGUCCAUCUGUGUGUGUAUUGUCAGUCUUUUCACGUGAAACGAUGCUUCGUGAUGAAUUUACUCUGUAAUCUUCACUAUUGUCUGUGCAUUGUUUUGACAAAAGGGGCUUCUGUUCGUCAUUUGCUUGUUUCGAUUCUGCAUGUGUUAUGUGUUCUCUAGCACUUUCUAUUGUGGAUGUAGUGAUACAACGCACUCCCCUAGACGAAACCUCAAAUAUUUGUAACAUACAGAGUACAGAGUAUUCCCCCUCCAUAGGUUUACAAAAUCGAGCAAAUAAUUUAUACGUGUCUUUAAUUUCCCAAUGUAUUUUGCCAAUAUAAGGUCUCAUACAUUUCUCAAAGCUGUUGUUCGAAUCAUUUUCCGAUGACACGUAAGCAUUGACUAGUAUCAUCACGAAAUGGCUAGCAUUAGCCCAGAAUAUAAGGAAUGUGACAAGUUUUAUCAAUACGCAGCGGUAAAAACGGAUAUUAAACGUAAGUUGCAAAAACAUACUUUGAAGUAAACAGAAAAUGAUUUGUACAAUUCUAUAGUCAAAAACUGCCUCAUCGUAGCUUGAAUUGUAUGUGCAAUUGAUCGUUGUGUUUGCAUGUGAUUUUAAGUCAUCGAACUUUUCUUUUUUGGCUCUUCCAUUCAAAAUAGAUAUUAUCGAGAAUAAAGUUGUGAAGAAAGUAAAUAUCCACAUGAAUACUUUAACCAGGCUGUCUGUUUUACCCUUGUGUUGUCGUAUCUGAACGGCCUCUUCAUUAUUUUCGUUUAUCUUCCAUAAAAUGAAAUAGGAAACAAGUGCUACAAUCCCACUAGCACAUAGUACCGUGUUGAAUAUAUAUGCAUUACUCGGAUUUAUUAAGCCGUGACAUACAGGACUAUCACAUGUGCUCAAACUAAGCUGGAUAAAAAAUGUAACUGUUAGAAUUGUCACCAAUACAAGAACUCCGCAGCUCAUUUC
rnacentral:lncRNA from 1 species